rnacentral:rRNA from 1 species
UACAGAGGUCUCAAGCGUUGUUCGGAUUCAUUGGGCGUAAAGGGUGCGUAGGUGGCGGGGUAAGUCUGGUGUGAAAUCUCGGGGCUCAACCCCGAAACUGCACUGGAUACUGCCUUGCUCGAGUACUGGAGAGGAGAUUGGAAUUUACGGUGUAGCAGUGAAAUGCGUAGAUAUCGUGAGGAACACCAGAGGCGAAGGCGGCUACCUGGACAAUUGCUGACGCUCAGGCACGAAAGCGUGGGGAGCAAAAGGG